CGAUUGGACGCUAGCGGGAUGCUUUACACAUGCAAGUCGAACGGCAGCGCGAGAGAGCUUGCUCUCUUGGCGGCGAGUGGCGGACGGGUGAGUAAUAUAUCGGAACGUGCCCAGUAGCGGGGGAUAACUACUCGAAAGAGUGGCUAAUACCGCAUACGCCCUACGGGGGAAAGGGGGGGAUCGCAAGACCUCUCACUAUUGGAGCGGCCGAUAUCGGAUUAGCUAGUUGGUGGGGUAAAGGCUCACCAAGGCAACGAUCCGUAGCUGGUUUGAGAGGACGACCAGCCACACUGGGACUGAGACACGGCCCAGACUCCUACGGGAGGCAGCAGUGGGGAAUUUUGGACAAUGGGGGAAACCCUGAUCCAGCCAUCCCGCGUGUAUGAUGAAGGCCUUCGGGUUGUAAAGUACUUUUGGCAGAGAAGAAAAGGUAUCCCCUAAUACGGGAUACUGCUGACGGUAUCUGCAGAAUAAGCACCGGCUAACUACGUGCCAGCAGCCGCGGUAAUACGUAGGGUGCAAGCGUUAAUCGGAAUUACUGGGCGUAAAGCGUGUGUAGGCGGUUCGGAAAGAAAGAUGUGAAAUCCCAGGGCUCAACCUUGGAACUGCAUUUUUAACUGCCGAGCUAGAGUAUGUCAGAGGGGGGUAGAAUUCCACGUGUAGCAGUGAAAUGCGUAGAUAUGUGGAGGAAUACCGAUGGCGAAGGCAGCCCCCUGGGAUAAUACUGACGCUCAGACACGAAAGCGUGGGGAGCAAACAGGAUUAGAUACCCUGGUAGUCCACGCCCUAAACGAUGUCAACUAGCUGUUGGGGCCGUUAGGCCUUAGUAGCGCAGCUAACGCGUGAAGUUGACCGCCUGGGGAGUACGGUCGCAAGAUUAAAACUCAAGGAAUUGACGGGGACCCGCACAAGCGGUGGAUGAUGUGGAUUAAUUCGAUGCAACGCGAAAACCUUACCUACUCUUGACAUGUCUGGAAAGCCGAGAGAUUUGGCCGUGCUCGCAAGAGAACCGGAACACAGGUGCUGCAUGGCUGUCGUCAGCUCGUGUCGUGAGAUGUUGGGUUAAGUCCCGCAACGAGCGCAACCCUUGUCAUUAGUUGCUACGCAAGAGCACUCUAAUGAGACUGCCGGUGACAAACCGGAGGAAGGUGGGGAUGACGUCAAGUCCUCAUGGCCCUUAUGGGUAGGGCUUCACACGUCAUACAAUGGUCGGGACAGAGGGUCGCCAACCCGCGAGGGGGAGCCAAUCUCAGAAACCCGAUCGUAGUCCGGAUCGCAGUCUGCAACUCGACUGCGUGAAGUCGGAAUCGCUAGUAAUCGCGGAUCAGAAUGUCGCGGUGAAUACGUUCCCGGGUCUUGUACACACCGCCCGUCACACCAUGGGAGUGGGUUUCACCAGAAGUAGGUAGCCUAACCGUAAGGAGGGCGCUUACCACGGUGGGAUUCAUGACUGGGGUGAAGUCGUAACAAGGUAGCCGUAUCGAAGUGCUC
rnacentral:rRNA from 1 species